rnacentral:rRNA from 1 species
UACAGAGGUCUCAAGCGUUGUUCGGAUUCAUUGGGCGUAAAGGGUGCGUAGGUGGCAUGGUAAGUCGGAUGUGAAAUCCCGGGGCUCAACCCCGGAACUGCAUUCGAUACUGCUGAGCUAGAGUACUGGAGAGGAGAUUGGAAUUUACGGUGUAGCAGUGAAAUGCGUAGAUAUCGUAAGGAAGACCAGUGGCGAAAGCGGCUCACUGGACCAUAACUGACGCUGAUGCACGAAAGCUGGGGGAGCAAACAGG